CGGCGUCAGUUCCUAACCUCCAGGGACUACGGGCGGAGCCAACCCCCUGGGGGCGCGGCGUGCGGAGAAAGCAGCAGUAGGCGGGUCACAACAACUCGAUCCCUGGUUGAAGUCUCCAGGGUAGCCGGGAUCCAAAGACCUCUCCUCAGUCUCCUUUGCACGCCGCCUCAAGCAGCUACCUUCUGACCUUUGCACUCUGACCCCGAUCACAACGCCCUCCUCUCUCAAGUUCCGGUACCUUGAACCUCAGCGGGACCGUGCUGAACACUUGACAGCAGCCUGUAACGUGAAGUAGAGGCGAGCAGGAGCCUUGCAGCCAUUGCCUGUGUUGGGAGUUGCAGCUCUCCGGGGAUGCUCAGCAGCGGCUGAUGAACACCCUCAAGUCUCUGUGGUCCAAGCAGGUGAUAAAAAUGAGCAAAGCAGGCCUAAUGGAAGCCAGUGAGGAAGUAGGACAGUGGGUGAAGGAGCAAACACAGAUCUCAUGGCGGGGUGCAGCCAUCCUGGAGCUCCAGUGAACUGUGGCAGUUAACAACAGUGUUCUGGCUCUUACCUGUAUAUCCAGCAUACCAUCCCCAGGAAGCCACCAUUCCUAAAAGCCAU